GGCCAUCCAUGGAAUGCUGACCACUUGAAGUACUAUUACAAAUAGACUCACAUUGUACAAGUGUUAAGCUACAACCGUUCGGCAUCCUAUGUAACAAAGAACAUUUGGUAUGAAUUCAAUAAAGAGGUGAUUUAGCCAACUCGACCAUAAACUCUUUUCCAUUCUGAGCAAUGAAACACUCAAGUGUUGAAGCUUCAACGCAAAUGUUUCCAAUACAAAACAAGAUCUAAGUAUGUGUUAACAAAACUAUACAAAGGAUCUACAUCAUACAU
rnacentral:lncRNA from 1 species